AUACGUAGGGGGCGAGCGUUGUCCGGAAUUACUGGGCGUAAAGGGCGUGUAGGCGGCCUGUUAAGUCAGGCGUGAAAACCCCGGGCUUAACCUGGGGACUGCGUUUGAAACUGGCGGGCUUGAGGGCAGGAGAGGAAAGUGGAAUUCCCGGUGUAGCGGUGAUAUGCGUAGAUACCGGGAGGAACACCAAUGGCGAAGGCGGCUUUCUGGACUGCACCCGACGCUGAGGCGCGAAAGCCAGGGGAGCGAACGGGAUUAGAUACCCCGGUAGUCCUGGCCGUAAACGAUGGGUACUAGGUGUGGGAGGUAUCGACUCCUUCCGUGCCGGAGUUAACACAAUAAGUAUCCCACCUGGGGAGUACGGCCGCAAGGUUGAA
rnacentral:rRNA from 1 species